AAGCUCGUAGUUGAAUUUCGGGGUCAGUAGAUUGGUCAUGCCACUGGUAUGUACUGGUCUCACUGAUUCCUCCUUCCUGAUGAGCCGUAAUGCCAUUAAUUUGGUGUUGCGAGGAAUCUGGACUGUUACUUUGAAAAAAUUAGAGUGUUUAAAGCAGGCUAACGCUUGAAUACAUUAGCAUGGAAUAAUGAAAUAGGACGUUCGAUCUUAUUAUGUUGAUUUCUAAGAUUGACGUAAUGAUUAAUAGGGAUAGUUGGGGGCAUUAGUAUUCAAUUGUCAGAGGUGAAAUUCUUGGAUUUAUUGAAGACUAACUACUGCGAAAGCAUUUGCCAGGAUGUUUUCAUUAAUCAAGAACGAAAGUUAGGGGAUCGAAGACGAUCAGAUACCGUCGUAGUCUUAACCAUAAACUAUGCCGACUAGGGAUCGGAUGAUGUUAAUUUUUUAAUGACUCAUUCGGCGCCUUACGGGAAACCAAAGUGUUUGGGUUCCGGGGGGAGUAUGGUCGCAAGGCUGAAACUUAAAGGAAUUGACGGAAGGGCACCACCAGGGGUGGAGCCUGCGGCUUAAUUUGACUCAACACGGGGAAACUCACCAGGUCCAGACAUAGUAAGGAUUGACAGAUUGAGAGCUCUUUCUUGAUUCUAUGGGUG
rnacentral:rRNA from 1 species